GUCAUUGUCAUUGUCACCGUGUCAUUGUCACCAUGUCACCGUCACCGUCACCGUGUCAUCGUCAUCGUGUCAUUGUCACUGUGUCACCGUCAUCAUGUCAUUGUCAUCGUCAUCGUCAUUCUCAUUGUGUCAUCGUCAUUGUCACCAUGUCAUUGUCAUCGUCAUUGUGUCGUCAUCGUCAUCACGUCAUCGUCAUUGUCACCGUGUCAUUGUCAUUGUCAUCGUCAUCGUCAUUGCGUCAUCGUCAUUGUCACCGUGUCAUUGUCAUUGUCACCGUGUCAUUGUCACCGUGUCAUUGUCAUUGUCAUCGUCAUUGUCACCGUGUCAUUGUCACCGUGUCAUUGUCACCGUCACCGCGUCAAAGUCACCACGAUGUCCCCACCCCUCGGGUCCCCUCUGUGUCCCCAACACCCCCGACGUCCCCGACGUCCCUCAAUGUCCCCAAGACCCCCCAUGUCCUAUGUCCCCAAUGUCCCCAAUGUCCCCAAUGUCCCCAUCCCCAACAUCCUCGAUGUCCCCAACGUCCCCAACGCCCCCCACGUCCCCGAUGUCCCCAAUGUCCCCGAUGUCCCCAA
rnacentral:lncRNA from 1 species